UACGAGGGAGGCGUAGCGUUGCUCGGAAUCACUGGGCGUAAAGCGCACGUAGGCGGCUUUUUAAGUCAGGGGUGAAAUCCUGGAGCUCAACUCCAGAACUGCCUUUGAUACUGAGAGCUUGAGUCCGGGAGAGGUGAGUGGAACUGCGAGUGUAGAGGUGAAAUUCGUAGAUAUUCGCAAGAACACCAGUGGCGAAGGCGGCUCACUGGCCCGGUACUGACGCUGAGGUGCGAAAGCGUGGGGAGCAA
rnacentral:rRNA from 1 species